rnacentral:lncRNA from 1 species
GUGAAAGCACAUUUGCUCCCUAGGUGGUUUUGGUAAUUAAUGACAACAUACUUUGUGGUUGGACUAAUGCUUUUAUCAAGUAUGUUUCAGAAAAGUCAAUCACUCUGGCAUGGCAAAAGGACUGAAGAGGUGAACCCCUAGGAUGCUAAGGAAAGGAUUGGCAAGAGCUCAAGACUCUAUUUUUCGGUUUAGUGAUCCAAGAUCACAUUGAGUCCAUAGGAAAGCCAAUACUAUUAAAAGGGGAUGAGGUUAUGAUGAUGAUUUGGUUGCUCAAAGUGCUUAGUGAUUUAUCUCUCAAACUAUCAGCAAUCUUUCAUUCCAACAUAUGCUCAUAAGUAAUCUCGGUCCCACCGAUUCCAUAAACUCAGUCACACCGAGAUGAACCACCUCAGCCAUAUAGCCAAACCCUAAUAAUUUCGGAUUUUCCGAUUCCAAACUCGGUCAUACCGAAACUAGUGUUGCCAACCUUCUGUAACCUUCUGUACUCAAAUCGGUGUCACCGAGAUGAGAAAGUCGGUCCCACCGAGAUUGGCAAACCCUAGACUUUGGAAGAAUCGGACUUACCGAGAUUGUAUUUUCGGUCCCACCGAAUAUCCCAACGUUCACAAGAUUUGAACUUUCGGUCUCACCGAGUUGUCAACUUCGGUCUGACCGAGAUUGGUCAAAUGUGUGUAACGGUUGGAUUUUGUGUGGAGGCUAUAAAUACCCCUCCACCUCCUCUUCAUUCGUGGAGAGAGCCAUCAGAAAGAACUACCACUCCUACCUUACAUUUCUGAGAAGAAAACUACCUACCCUUGUGUUGAGAUCAAGUUGCUCCACUCUCACCAUAUGAAACUUGAUUUCUAGCCUUCCCAAGUUGCUUUCCACUCAAUCCCUUCUUCCACCACAGCCAAAUCAGUGAGGAGAGUUGAGUGUUGGGGAGAUUAUCAUUUGAAGCACAAGAGCAAGGAGUUCAUCAUCACCAACACCAUCUAUUACCUUUUGGAGGGUGGUGCCUCCUAGAUUGGUUAGGUGUCGCUUGGGAGCCUCCGUCAAGAUGUGGAGUUGAACCAAGAAGUUUGUAAGGGCAAGGAGAUCGCCUACUUCGUGAAGAUCUACCCCGAGUAAGGCUAGUCCUCCGUGGACGUAGGCCAUGAUGGCAUAGACAAGGUUGCUUCUUCGUGGACCCUUCGUGGGUGGAGCCCUCCGUGGACUCUCGCAGCAGUUACCCUCCGUGGGUUGAAGUCUCCAUCAAUGUGGAUUGACGAUAGCACCACCUAUCGGAACCACGAGAAAAAUCUCCGUGUCUCCAAAUUGCGUUUGCUCUUCACAAUCUCUCCCUUACUACUUGUGCAAUUUACUUUCCGCUGCCCAUACUCUAGAAUUGCAUGUGUAGUAUGUUGCUCGACUUGUUUGCAUGAUACUUGACUUGGUUUUUAUUGUGAACUUGCUAAAAACUUGCCCUAAUCAAAAGGCUAAACUUUUAAGUUGUCGAGUAGUCUAAUCACCCCCCCUCUAGACACUCUUGCCUUCAACGAUCCUACAAUUGGUAUCAGAGCAUUGGUCUCCAUUGCUUUGGUUUGCACACCAUUGGAGGAAGAUGGACGUGUCUACGUUUGGGAGUGUUAGCCAUAGAGUGUCUGUUCUUGAUGGAGUGUCCUAUAACUCGUGGAGGAUUGAAAUGCUUGCUAUCUUUAAGAUAUACAACUUGCGCAAAUAUGUUGAAACCCCAUAUGUACCUCCAUUUGACCCCUUGCACCCUACUAUGGAUGAAGAGCUUGAUUUGCUUCGUAACCUUAGAACUGUCAAUCUUAUCAUUAGAGGUUUGCCCGAUAACUUGCUUGAGCUUGUCACAAACUUUGAGUGCGCCCAUGCUAUGUGGAAGUUCUUGGAAGAACUUUAUCCGGACAACUCUUUGAGAGGUCUUGAUGAAAUUCUAUACAAGACUAUUGAAUUUGAUAUGAUGCGCCCCAAAGAUCCCAACUUUGAUAAAUGCUUCUUUGAGCUUCGUGAUCUUAUGAAAAAGAAGGGUGAUCCCGGUUUUAUCAAUGUUCGAAUUAGAAAUGCUCUUGUAUUGCAUUCUGAUGAUUAUUGUCACUCUGAAAAAACUGAUGCAAGUCAUUGUCAAAUUGACCUAGGUAUUGAUGAUGAAUUAUCUAUGGGUCAAUAUGAAGAUGAGCAUGAGCAUGAUGACGAUUACUCCGAUUCGGACACCGAGCUAGACAAGAUCAUGAAGAGUCUCAGUCUUAUGGCAAAUCUGAGAGACUACAUAUCCGGUGGAAAAGAGUGGAUUCUUGAUAGUGGAUGCACCGAUCACAUGACCGGAGAUGAAGACAUGUUUCGAGAGCUUGCAAAGAACGAUGGUCCAUGCAAGUAUGUGACUUUUGGAGACAACUCCAAGGGUAAGGUACUUGGCCUUGGUAAGGUGGCCAUAUCUCAUGAUAGCUCCAUUAAAAAUGUCAUGCUUGUCGAAUCACUUGGAUACAACUUACUUUCCGUGUCUAGAUUAGCUGACUUUGGAUUCAAUGUGCUAUUCACCAAAGUAGAUUGUCAAGUUUUUCGUCGUGACAAUCAUAACAUGGUCUUUACCGGUAUCCGUAGAGGUGAUUUGUAUAUCGUUGAUUUCACUAAAAAAGCUCAACCUAGAACUUGCUUCAUUGCUAAAUCUGCUAAAGGUUGGUUAUGGCAUAGAAGGCUUGGACAUGUUGGUAUGCGUAAUCUAGAUAAGCUAAUCAAAGGUGAUCACAUUAUUGGUGUUAAAGAUGUUCUCUUUGACAAAGAUAGACUCUGUAGUGCAUGUCAAGCAGGAAAACAAGUAGGUGGAAGUCAUCCCGUGAAGAACAUCAUGACCACAAGGAGACCGCUUGAGCUUCUUCAUAUGGAUCUCUUCGGUCCCAAUGCUUACAAAAGCCUUGGUGGUAACUCCUUUGGUCUAGUUAUAGUUGAUGAUUAUUCCAGAUUUACGUGGGUAUUUUUCCUUGAUGACAAAUCACAGGUUCAGAAAAUCUUCAAAACCUUUGCUAGAAAGGCCCAAAAUCAAUUUGAGGUGAAGAUCAAGAAAGUUCGGAGCGACAAUGGAACGGAGUUCAAGAACGCCCAUGUGGACUCUUUUCUCGAUGAAGAAGGGAUUCUACAUGAGUUCUCGGCUACAUACACACCUCAACAAAAUGGAGUUGUUGAGAGGAAGAACCGAACGCUCAUUGAGAUGGCGAGAACGAUGCUUGAUGAAUACAAGACACCGAAACACUUUUGGGGUGAAGCCGUCGAGACAGCUUGUCAUGCUAUCAACAGGCUUUAUCUUCACAAGCUCCUCGGCAAGACUUCAUACGAGCUCCUUACCGGUAACAAACCCCAAGUGGGAUAUUUUCGUGUCUUUGGUUCAAAAUGCUAUAUCCUUGAUAAGCAUCGUCGGUCUAAAUUUGCUCCUAAAACUCAUGAAGGUUUUUUCCUCGGUUAUGGAUCAAACUCUCACACCUACCGUGUCUACAAUAAUUUCACCCGAAAGGUUGAAGAGACGGUAGAUGUGAAGUUUGAUGAAUCUAAUGGCUUGCAAGUAGAGCAAAUGCCUAUUGAUGUAGGAGACAAGGACCCAUCGGAAGCCAUUCGAGAUUUAUCCAUUGGAAAGAUUCGUCCCAUGGAGGUGAAGGAGAGUACCUCAUCUACAUAUGUGGAGCCCCCUACCUCACGGAGAGAUGAACCUCAAGGCAACAUGGAGGCCUCCACAAGUGGAACUCACCAAGAUGAGGAAGUGCGACAAGAAGAUCCACCACAACCUCCUUCUCCACCACCUCAAGACAACACCAACAACAAUGAUGAAGAAGAAGAUGAGGAUGAUGAGGAAGCUCAGCCACGACCACAACAAAAGCUAUCCCGAGUUCGAGCAAGAGUCAAGAAGGACCAUCCCGUGGAACAAACGAUGAAUGACAUCGACUCCGGGAGAAUCACUCGCUCUAAAACUCGUUUAGCUAACUUUUGUGAGCACUACUCAUUUAUCUCUAGUCUUGAACCUAUGAAGGUAGAAGAAGCGCUUGAAGACCCGGAUUGGGUGAACGCUAUGCAUGAAGAGCUACACAACUUAGAGAGGAACAACGUUUGGACUUUGGUAGAGAAGCCCAAUGAUGACCAAAACGUCAUUGGAACCAAAUGGGUGUUUCGGAACAAGCAAGACGAAGAUGGACAAGUCAUCCGCAACAAGGCUCGUCUCGUAGCACAAGGUUACACACAAGUCGAAGGUAUGGACUAUGGUGAGACCUAUGCCCCCGUUGCUAGACUUGAGUCCAUUCGCAUUCUUCUUGCUUAUGCCAACCACCAUGAUAUUACUCUCUAUCAAAUGGACAUUAAAAGUGCUUUCCUAAAUGGUGAAAUUGAGGAGGAAGUAUUUGUGAAACAACCUCCCGGAUUUGUAAAUCCUAAAAAGCCUAAUCAUGUUUACAAAUUGCACAAAGCUCUUUAUGGUCUUAAACAAGCUCCUAGAGCUUGGUACAAAUGCUUGACUAGCUUUCUUCUUGAAAAAGGAUUUGAAAUUGCAAAAAUAGACUCAACGCUAUUCACGAAAAGGGUUGAUGGUGAACUAUUUGUGUGCCAAAUAUAUGUUGAUGAUAUUAUCUUUGGUUCAACUAACCCCCAUUUUAGUGAGAAGUUUGGAAAGCUUAUGUCGGAGAAGUAUGAGAUGUCCAUGAUGAGUGAACUAAAAUUCUUCCUUGGGUUGCAAAUCAAGCAAUCUAAGGAGGGUACCUUUGUCUCACAAACAAAGUACACAAAGGAUCUCUUCAAGAAGUUCAACAAGCAAGAAAGCAAAGGUAUGAGAACCCCCAUGCCUACUAGUGGACAUAAUGACUUGACUAAAGAUGGAGAACCUGUUGAUCAAAAGGUUUAUCGAUCCAUGAUUGGUUCUCUACUAUAUCUCUGUGCUUCUCGUCCUGACAUAAUGUUGAGUGUAUGCAUGUGUGCUCGAUAUCAAGCAGCCCCUAAAGAAUGUCAUCUUAAAGCUGUUAAAAGAAUUGUGAGAUAUUUGAUACACACACCCAACUUUGGCAUUUGGUAUCCUAAGAGGGCCUCUUUCGAUCUUGUUGGCUAUUCCGACUCGGACUAUGCCGGAGACAAGAUUGACAGAAAGUCAACUUCGGGUACAUGUCAAUUUCUCGGUCGAUCCCUUGUAUCUUGGUCAUCCAAGAAACAAAAUUCGGUAUCAUUAUCUACUGCCGAAGCAGAAUAUAUUGCUACUGGUUCGUGUUGUGCUCAGUUACUAUGGAUGACACAAACGCUUAAGGAUUAUGGGAUACAUGCGAGACAUGUUCCUUUGCUUUGUGACAAUGAGAGUGCGAUUAAGAUUGGACACAAUCCCGUGCAACACUCUCGCACGAAACACAUAGAAGUUCGUCACCAUUUUAUUCGUGAUCACAUUGCUAAGGGUGACAUUGAUCUUAAGCAUGUUCGUACUGACAAACAGCUUGCAGAUAUCUUUACAAAACCACUUGAUGAGAAAGUAUUUUGUCGCUUAAGGAGUGAGUUGAACAUCAUUGAUGCUUCAAACUUGGAGUGAAAACUCCAUUGAUGCAUGCAAGGCAUGAGCCUAAUUGACUAAUCCUUGAUAUUUCUCUUAUGAUGAUGAUCAUAUGUCUUGGACACAUUUGCCCCCUUGUAUUGCAUCUAACUCCUUGCAGGUACUUGGAUGGUCUACAUUCAACAAGAUUAUCACACACACUCAAAUCAUGAGUAAUCUUGUCAUUGACCAAGUAUCUAGCCCUUUGGGAUGUUGAGUUCAAGGAACAAAAUUCCACAUAUCCUUUUUGACACCAUAUACUUCUAGUACUUCACUCAUGUCAUCUUGGAUAUUCUUGAGUAUUUCCUUGCUUGCCUAACCCAUGUAGGAAGAUGAACUAUACAUUUGGAAAUGGUGCUCCAACUUCACAUUCUAUGAGCAUCUACAUCAAGUUCACCUACAUGAGAACAAGCAACAACAAGCCCAAGGUAUGUUUUUCACAUCUUGAAGAAGCUUUGCUCAAAGUCAUGAGCACAAGCAGCUUCAAAAGAUGUGAUCACAUCAAAUGCUUAAUCGAAAAAUGGCAACCCCAUUUUGAGCUUAAACGAUGAGUAUGACCUAUGAUCAAAUGUUCUCAUUUGACUCCUAAGUCAAUAUACUCAAACAUAGGUGACCUAGUCGCCGACCCCUGUCUAGAUGAAGUACAUAUGUUUUUGAAUUUCUCUGCUAUUCUCAUUGAGUUUUCUUACUUAAAAAAAACUUCAUCUAGCAAUCUUUUUCAUUUCGGUUUCUUCUGUUCUUGUGUAUAUCUUUUUGGCUCUGAUCAAUUCCCUGAAAAUCAUUUACAAAUUCAUUGCAAAUCUGUUGAAACAUUCCUUGCAAAGUGAGCUGAAUUAUUUCUAUAUUUCCUUGGAAUUAAAUUCGGCGUCACCGAUUCAAUCACUUCGGUCUGACCGAAAAAGGAUCUGCCCUAAGUAUCUGACUUUCGGCCUCACCGAUCCAUAUCAAUUCGGUGUCACCGAUUUACAUUCACCAGGAUAUCAUCUUCUGCAGCUCAACUAAAUGAUUUAUUUUGCAUACUUAAUUUGCUCAGUUGUGAUUCUUAAGGAUCCCACUUCUUUCUUUCCAUCUUUCCUGCCCUUCCUGGUUUACUGUCCUUUUCGGCACUUGAUGUCAAAGGGGGAGAAGAUUUAGGGGGAGCUUAGGGGGAGAUUGGAGGAUAAGGGGAGAAGAGAAGAUUUAAAGGGAGAAGAAAAACAAUCUUACCUUAAGGGGGAGAGGAUCACAUCAAAGCUUUGCCAUAUUUCACUGUGAUAAUACAUUUGGCAUUACUCUUUUGAUUUUUGCUUCUCUUGCUCUCACAAUUGGUAUCUUAUGAAAAGCACAAUUGGUAUCUUAUGCAAAGCAAAAUUCUUUCAGAGCUCAUUGAAAAUCUUUCAGUCGUGGGAGACAUGUUUGCUGAUUCAAGCUAGUGCUCAACAUGAGACACUCUUUAUACAUGUCAUCCCUGGCUUGGUACUCUUGAUGUUCUUGCUAUUGGUUGAAGAACUACUCUUGUGUUAUCUAACCUUGUUUUUCCAAGUUUAUUUCUUCAGGUACAAUACCAAGGAACUCCAAGGUAAGUAUAUGCAUCUUGCAGAAUGUGCAUGAUGGUGACUUGCUUGUGAAUACUUGUUUGCAAGAAAUCACCAUGCACAUAUGCAUCAUCACUCACUUAUCCUCAUCUGCUCUGAUGCAUAUAGCCAAGCUGCAUGUAGCACAUCUUGCUUCUCUCUCAUGUGUGCUUGUGGUAGUCCAAAACCAAAAUCUAAAAUCUUGCACACUUGUAGGGGGAGCCUGUGUACUACAUGUUUGUCAAAGCUUUAAUGAUAAUCCUGUCUUUCUUUCAGUAAGCUUUGAUAUCUUAUUUUGUGUGUUGCCAUCAAUUACCAAAAAGGGGGAGAUUGAAAGCACAUUUGCUCCCUAGGUGGUUUUGGUAAUUAAUGACAACAUACUUUGUGGUUGGACUAAUGCUUUUAUCAAGUAUGUUUCAGAAAAGUCAAUCACUCUGGCAUGGCAAAAGGACUGAAGAGGUGAACCCCUAGGAUGCUAAGGAAAGGAUUGGCAAGAGCUCAAGACUCUAUUUUUGGGUUUAGUGAUCCAAGAUCACAUUGAGUCCAUAGGAAAGCCAAUACUAUUAAAAGGGGAUGAGGUUAUGAUGAUGAUUUGGUUGCUCAAAGUGCUUAGUGAUUUAUCUCUCAAACUAUCAGCAAUCUUUCAUUCCAACAUAUGCUCAUAAGUAAUCUCGGUCCCACCGAUUCCAUAAACUCAGUCACACCGAGAUGAACCACCUCAGCCAUAUAGCCAAACCCUAAUAAUUUCGGAUUUUCCGAUUCCAAACUCGGUCAUACCGAAACUAGUGUUGCCAACCUUCUGUAACCUUCUGUACUCAAAUCGGUGUCACCGAGAUGAGAAAGUCGGUCCCACCGAGAUUGGCAAACCCUAGACUUUGGAAGAAUCGGACUAACCGAGAUUGUAUUUUCGGUCCCACCGAAAAUCCCAACGUUCACAAGAUUUGAACUUUCGGUCUCACCGAGUUGUCAACUUCGGUCUCACCGAGAUUGGUCAAAUUUGUGUAACGGUUGGAUUUUGUGUGGAGGCUAUAAAUACCCCUCCACCUCCUCUUCAUUCGUGGAGAGAGCCAUCAGAAAGAACUACCACUCCUACCUUACAUUUCUGAGAAGAAAACUACCUACCCUUGUGUUGAGAUCAAGUUGCUCCACUCUCACCAUAUGAAACUUGAUUUCUAGCCUUCCCAAGUUGCUUUCCACUCAAUCCCUUCUUCCACCACAGCCAAAUCAGUGAGGAGAGUUGAGUGUUGGGGAGAUUAUCAUUUGAAGCACAAGAGCAAGGAGUUCAUCAUCACCAACACCAUCUAUUACCUUUUGGAGGGUGGUGCCUCCUAGAUUGGUUAGGUGUCGCUUGGGAGCCUCCGUCAAGAUGUGGAGUUGAACCAAGAAGUUUGUAAGGGCAAGGAGAUCGCCUACUUCGUGAAGAUCUACCCCGAGUAAGGCUAGUCCUCCGUGGACGUAGGCCAUGAUGGCAUAGACAAGGUUGCUUCUUCGUGGACCCUUCGUGGGUGGAGCCCUCCGUGGACUCCCGCAGCCGUUACCCUCCGUGGGUUGAAGUCUCCAUCAACGUGGAUUGACGAUAGCACCACCUAUCGGAACCACGAGAAAAAUCUCCGUGUCUCCAAAUUGCGUUUGCUCUUCACAAUCUCUCCCUUACUACUUGUGCAAUUUACUUUCCGCUGCCCAUACUCUAGAAUUGCAUGUGUAGUAUGUUGCUCGACUUGUUUGCAUGAUACUUGACUUGGUCUUUAUUGUGAACUUGCUAAAAACUUGCCCUAAUCAAAAGGCUAAACUUUUAAGUUGUCGAGUAGUCUAAUCACCCCCCUCUAGACACUCUUGCCUUCAACGAUCCUACAG